rnacentral:rRNA from 1 species
AGCAGCCGCGGUAAUUCCAGCUCCAAUAGCGUAUAUUAAAGUUGUUGCAGUUAAAAAGCUCGUAGUUGAAUUUCGGGAUCAAUUUAUCGGUCGUGCCAACGGUAUGAACUGGUACAAUUGGUUUCUCCCUUCUGAUGAAGCACGAUGUCAUUAACUUGGUGUCGUGGGGAAUCAGGACUGUUACUUUGAAAAAUUAGAGUGUUUAAAGCAGGCCUUGGCUUGAAUACAUUAGCAUGGAAUAAUGAAAUAGGACGUUUGAUCCUAUUUCGUUGGUUUCUAGGAUCGACGUAAUGAUUAAUAGGGAUAGUUGGGGGCAUUAGUAUUCAAUUGUCAGAGGUGAAAUUCUUGGAUUUAUUGAAGACUAACUACUGCGAAAGCAUUUGCCAAGGAUGUUUUCAUUAAUCAAGAACGAAAGUUAGGGGAUCGAAGACGAUCAGAUACCGUCGUAGUCUUAACCAUAAACUAUGCCGACUAGGGAUCGGAUGAUGUUAAUUUUUAAUGACU